AAAACCGAAAUUAAAACAACAAAUUAAAAACACAAAGGCAAAUCUAAAAACAAAAUAACAAUUCAGAAAACACAACGCAUAAUCAGAAAUCAAAACAACAAGUCAGAAAUUUCAACGCCAGAUCUGAAAACAAAAUAACAAACCAGAAAACAAAAUAACAAACCAGAAAGCAAAAUAAAAAGUCAGAAAUCACAACAGCAAAUCAGAACAACCGGAAAAGGUAGGUACAAUGUGUUAGUGGAUUGGUUACUGCUGAUUGGACGACACGUCGUGGAUUGGUUACUGCUGAUUGGACGACACGUCUGUCAAUCAAGAUAUACAGGAAGUAAGACUUUUUGAAUCAACAAACUUGAAGGCAGAAGAAUGGAAUACAUUCAACGCUAUUUUGAGGACGGACAUUCAUAUGCCGUGAUUUUGGACAUGCUUUCAACUUACCAUGGCAUUAAGAUUAGCAUGCGCUCUCUUAAAACACAUCUAAAGGAAGCAAAUAUGUUUAGAAGAAAAAACUAUUCCCCAGUACACGAUGUCAGGAAUGCCAUAAGAGCGGAGCUACAUGGACCAGGACAGUUAUUCGGCUACCGGACAAUGUGGUUGGCACUUCAGCAGAAACACAAGUUGCAUGUAAAACGGGAUGAUGUUAUGCGAUUGAUGCAGGAGCUAAACCCACAAGGGACAUUUCAGAGAACACGUCGUAGAUUUGUCCGGCGUACAUAUCAUUCCAUGGGACCGAACUAUCUAUGGCAUGUAGAUGGGUACGAUAAACUGAAACCAUUUGGUUUCGCUAUAUCGGGUUGCAUUGAUGGUUUUUCGAGGCGUGUUAUGUGGCUUACUUGUGGACAUACAAACAACGACCCUGCUGUCAUUGCACACAACUUCAUUUCCUGUGUACAACGCAUGGGUGUUGUUCCUAUGAGAUUACGAACGGACUGUGGAACAGAAAACGGUACAUUAGCAGCAAUACAGUGCACUCUCCGCCAUCACCAUACAGAUUACUAUUCUGGUUUAAGAAGUCACAUGUAUGGUACAUCAAUGAGUAAUCAGCGCAUCGAAUCUUGGUGGUCCAUCUUAAGGAAAGCAAGGGCACAGUUCUGGAUAAACCUUUUUGGGGAUCUCAGAAACGAUGGACACUUCAAUGGCAGCAAUGAACACCAGUGCCUGCUUCAAUUUUGCUUUCAACAUAUCCUUCAGGCAGACUUGGAUGAAUGUGUAGAGCUGUGGAAUAAGCACAGGAUUAGGCCUUCUAGACUUGCCAUGUGCCCUGGUGGAGUACCAAAUGAGCUGUAUCUUCUACCACACAGAUCUGGAUCGAGGGAUUGUGGCUUUCCAGUUAAUGAUGUGGACUUAGGAGCUUUUCCUGAGUCAAGGCUGGCAACACAGUUAUGUGGGGAUAUAAAAAUUCAGGAAUAUCUAGAAUUUGCAAUGGAACAUAAUCAAUUACAGAGGCCACAGAAUUGGGAGGAAGCAUUACAUCUUUAUUUUACAAUGAAGGAAACAGCAGGUCUCUGAGCACGAGAAUUCUUAAAGAUGACACUAGAAACCACGGGGUACAUCAUGUUAAGAACUUAAUGCCAUGCAUAAACUGAAAACUGUGACAUUUCAAAAACUGUGAACACUGAUACUGACUAGUACAUUUGAGUUUAAUUAAAAGCAUCCAAAGCCUGGAGAAUUCUGGAUUCCGAAAUCCAUGUGAGAUUUAAAACUACUGUAUGUCUCUGAAAGCGGUAACUUGAGGGUGUUUGCACAUGUGUUUGCCAUUGGAAAGGGUGAAGUGUCAAGAAAAACAAUGCAUGGUUGUGGUGUUAUUCCAGCUGGUGGAAGUGAUGUGAGACCAGUGGCGAACAUCAGCAGAUUCUCCAGUGACACUUCAGUCUGGUGUUCUACAAACACAAAAAUUAUUAUUUCUCUUAUAGAUUUUUGAAGUUCAGUAAAAACAUCUGUUUGUUAAAUUUCGAAUAACACACCUUCACAGUCGAGGAGAUAGUCUGACCAAAAGGAAAGGGUCUUGGAUUCGUUUUGCCUCUGGUUACUACCUGCUGGGCUAAGUUCGUGUUUGAAGAGGUUUUCCAAAUCGAUGGCUGUUAGUUUCUUUUCAUUGUGGCACAGGAAAGAUCCUAACACACGGGGAUGCUGCUGAAGUGCAGUCAGAAACUGCAGGGUGGCAAGUCCAUCUUUAAAUCUAGUAAAGAUUUUAAAAAAUGUGUAAAAAAUUGUAUGAACAUUAAAUUACAGCUAUUUUGUACAUCUUAUAAUAAACAUUUGCCCAGGA